UGGCCGGGCGUUGACUCCCCGCUAGGGCCCCAGGCGGGUCGCCUCACCCCCGCAGCCUCACUUUCCCCAUCUAUCAAGUGGACACGGCAGUCUGCAAGGGCCUUUUUGACCCUGGCAAUCCGGAAGCAAGAUUUAGUAACAAACGGAGAGGGGCUUUUGUGCCAGGUGUCCCUGCUCACAAAGCAAGGUCCUGCCUUGGUCUGACCGAAACCUCUCAUACCCAGGUGGGGAAAAGGAGCCAGGAGAAGGAGGACUGCCCUGGUCAGAGAAAUAUGUCAGCAGAAGGGCCAGAGGUUGCGCACCCUCUUCAUCGUGGUUGUCAUCGUCAUCACCACCACCAUAGUCAUCAACGACUCCAAAGAAGUUCAGAGAAUUUCCUCCUGACCCGAGUGAAGCCCACUGCAUGGAAGCAGGAGGCUGGGAUCUUAGUUCCCUGACCAGGGAUCGAACUGGUUCCCCCUGCAAUGGAAGCGUGGAGUCUGGACCACCAG